rnacentral:rRNA from 1 species
GACGAACGCUGGCGGCGUGCUUAACACAUGCAAGUCGAGCGGUAAGGCCCUUUCGGGGGUACACGAGCGGCGAACGGGUGAGUAACACGUGGGUGACCUGCCCUCAGCUCUGGGAUAAGCCUGGGAAACCGGGUCUAAUACUGGAUAUGACUCCAUGACGCAUGUUGUGGGGUGGAAAGCCUUGUGCGGCUGAGGAUGGGCCCGCGGCCUAUCAGCUUGUUGGUGGGGUGAUGGCCUACCAAGGCGACGACGGGUAGCCGGCCUGAGAGGGCGACCGACCACACUGGGACUGAGACACGGCCCAGACUCCUACGGGAGGCAGCAGUGGGGAAUCUUGCGCAAUGGGCGAAAGCCUGACGCAGCGACGCCGCGUGAGGGAUGACGGCCU